UCGGGAAUUUUGGGCAAUGGGCGAAAGCCUGACCCAGCAACGCCGCGUGAGGGAUGAAGUAUUUCGGUAUGUAAACUUCGAAAGAAUAGGAAGAAUUAAUGACGGUACUAUUUAUAAGGUCCGGCUAACUACGUGCCAGCAGCCGCGGUAAUACGUAGGGACCAAGCGUUGUUCGGAUUUACUGGGCGUAAAGGGCGCGUAGGCGGCAAUUCAAGUCAGCUGUGAAAUCUCUGGGCUUAACCCGGAACGGCCAGCUGAUACUGCUUCGCUAGAGUGCUGAAGGGGCAAUCGGGAUUCUUGGUGUAGCGGUAAAAGGCGUAGAUAUCAAGGGGAACACCUGAGGUGAAGACGGGUUGCUGGGCCGACACUGACGCUGAGGCGCGAAAGCCAGGGGAGCAAACG
rnacentral:rRNA from 1 species